rnacentral:lncRNA from 1 species
UUUUUGCUAUUUCUUUGGGCCGCUCCCACGGCAUAUGGAGGUUCCCAGGCUAGGAGUCCAAUCGGAGCUGUAGCCACCGGCCUACGCCAGAGCCACAGCAAUGCGGGAGCCGAGCCGUGUCUGCAACCUACACCACAGCUCACGGCAACGCCGGAUGGUUAACCCACUGAGCAAGGGCAGGGACUGAACCCACAACCUCAUGGUUCCUAGUCGGAUUCGUUAACCACUGCACCACGACGGGAACUCCCCUCUUGUAGCCAUUUUAAAUCAUGAAGUGGCACACCAAGAAUGACAGAGCAGCAAAAUGCAAGGAGCCUAAGUCCCUGAUGAUUGCAGACCCACCGCAUAGCCCUGGACUCCCUUACUCUGGAUCCUCUUAUGUGAGUAUGAUAUAUGCACCUACUUUAAGCCUCUGUUACUUUGGGAAUUUUUGUUAAUCACAGCCAUACUUUGUCCUAAUUAAAACACUUGCUAAAUGAAGUUUUUCUGGAAUGGGGACCCGCCCAGAUCUCAUAGUCUAAGCAUAGGUCUCAUGGGUUGAAGGGACUCUCGAGAGAGAACUUUCCUGUUGUCAAAAACAGGGAGUAUAGAACAGAGAGAGAAGUAAAGCCACCUGGGUCCACAGGAUAACUGACAAGAGGUGUAUAUGCAGGAGGACUCUGCUCCUCCAAGCAGUUCCUGGACCAACACCAUCAGGAUCACCUGGGAGUUUGCUGUGCACAAUCUCAGGCCCGCCCCGAGCCUACUGAAUCAGAAUCUUCCUUUUAACAAGUUCCCCAAGUGAUUCGGAUAUACUUUGAAACAUGAGAAAUGCAGCCUUAUGGGGAGGCUUUAAUAUCACAGACAGACAAAAGUUAAGGCCACACUUCCUGUUUACCACAAGGAGUUGGAACUAGAAAUUAUUUUGGAAAGUAUGAUCCUAUCAGAAAAACCUCUGCUACUCAGCAAAGAAACUGGCUGGCCACCCCAGGGUGCGGGUAAGAGGGAGAAGAAAAAAAAAAGAGUUAAUGAAAGAAAUUGGAGCACUUAGCCUGUAUGUCCUAGUAUAAAAUCCAGAUUCUCUCAUUUCUUACCAGGAAAAAAAGCCCUAAGCCAAUAAAAUAAAAUAAAACUCCAUCUAGAAAAAGGAAUCCUCUAAUGAAGAAACCAUACCAGAGAGAUGUCUCCAAAUCCUAGCGGAUAUAUAGGACUCAGCGGAAGGUAAUUCCUGCUGAGGAUGAGACAAAAUUUACAAAGCACACAAGGCAAUGCAAAACCAUGCAUAUCAUCAAAAAUUGCAAGUGAGAGAAAUCAUUCCUAAGGAAUUGCCGAGUGAACUCUCUGAAAAGGAAUUUAAAUAAGUUUGUCUAACAUGUUUUAAAACUAGAAGAGCAACAUCUAUAAAGCAAACCCAGAACAUUAGGAGAAAAGAAGAGCUGAUUUGAAAAAGAACUAAAAUAAAGUUCUAACACUGGAAAACAUAAUCCUCCAAAUUGAAAAAAAAAAAGACAACAAACAGCAUCAAUAUGCUGGUUCCAUAGUCCAUUGACACAGCUGUGGAGGAAAGUGAUAACUUUAAAAACAGAUCUGAGAAAAAAAUUAUCUAGCACACAACAUAAAGAAAAGGACAUUUUGUCAAAUAUGAAAAAGAAAAAAUAUUGAAAAAGAAAUUGAGAAAACAUGGAGAAUCUGUUUUAAUAUUUCUGUAUCUGUCAGCAGACGCUGCAAAAAGCAAGACCAUUCAGAAGAGGAUGAGAGGUAAUAUUUGAAGAGAUGAGGGCAAAGGAAUGUCUAGAUUUGAAAAGAAAGGUUCUAAGCUUCGGGUUGGAAAACAUAGAAUAAGUAAAAACAAACACACACUUGGCCACAUGAUUGCGAAACUAUAGAACAUCAAGGGAAAAGAUAAUAUUUUCAGAGAUACUAGAGAAUAGAGAACGAUUAUCUUCAAAGAACUGUCUGCUGGAUUGAUGUCACCCUUCUCAUUGGCAACAAUAGCUGCCAGAAGAUGAGGGAAUCUCUUAAAAGUGCUAAGCAGGGAAAAAAGGUCCAUCUGCAAUUCUGCAUUCAGCUCACCCUCAUGUGAGACACGGGACAAAGGAAAGAUAUUUUCAGAAAAAGACUGAGUUAACUAAACACAGAUCUUCAAGUAACUCCUAAAAGAUUAAUUUAGAAAAAAGAAAAGAGAUGGAAUUGCAAGAAACAACUGUGUGCAAACACUGUGUGCAAAAAUAAACAGGCAAGUUAAUCUAGAUAGGUAUAGAUUCUAAAAAUAAUAAUGACAAAUGGUGAGUAAAAACAUGGCAGAACUAAAUACUAGACCACCGUGAUACAGAAGAUGGGAGCAAAGUUAAACAUUCUGAGUUCUCUGUCUUAUCUUGGAAGAGAAUAGAGGUAUCAGGAGUUCCCGUCAAAGUGCAGUGGAAACAAAUCCAACUAAGAACCAUGAGGUUUCAGGUUCAAACCCCGGCCUCACUCAGUAGGGUUAAGGAUCUAGAGUUGCUGUGAGCUGUGGUGUAGGUCACAGAUGUGGCUCAGAUCUGAUGUUGCUGUGGCUCUGGCGUAGGCCAGCAGCUAUAGCUCCGAUUGGACCCGUAGCCUGGGAACCUCCAUAUGCCACAGGUGCAGCCCUAGAAAAG